rnacentral:rRNA from 1 species
GACGAACGCUGGCGGCGUGCUUAACACAUGCAAGUCGAACGGAAAGGCCCUGCUUUUGUGGGGUGCUCGAGUGGCGAACGGGUGAGUAACACGUGAGUAACCUGCCCUUGACUUUGGGAUAACUUCAGGAAACUUGGGCUAAUACCGGAUAGGAUCUCCUGCUGCUUGUUGGGGGUUGGAAAGUUUCGGCGGUUGGGGAUGGACUCGCGGCUUAUCAGCUUGUUGGUGGGGUAGUGGCUUACCAAGGCUUUGACGGGUAGCCGGCAUGAGAGGGUGACCGGCGAAAGUGGGACUGAGAUACGGAGCAGACUGCUACGGGAGGCAGCAGUGGGGAAUAUUGCACAAUGGGCGGAAGCCUGAUGCAGCAACGCAGCGUGCGGGAUGACGGCCUUCGGGUUGUAAACCGCUUUCGCCUGUGACGAAGCGUGAGUGACGGUAAUGGGUAAAGAAGCACCGGCUAACUACGUG